UAAAAGUAAUCUUUAGAUAAGUAUAUUAUUUACAAUAAUAAUUUCCUGUUAAAAUCAGGACUUUUAA
rnacentral:tRNA from 1 species